AAGCGGUGGAUGAUGUGGUAUUAAUUCGAUGCAACGCGAAAACCUUACCACCUUUGACAUGGCAGGAAUCCCGAAGAGAUUUGGGAGUGCUCGAAAGAGAACCUGCACACAGGUGCUGCAUGGCUGUCGUCAGCUCGUGUCGUGAGAUGUUGGGUUAAGUCCCGCAACGAGCGCAACCCUUGCCAUUAGUUGCUACGAAAGGGCACUCUAAUGGGACUGCCGGUGACAAACCGGAGGAAGGUGGGGAUGACGUCAAGUCCUCAUGGCCCUUAUAGGUGGGGCUACACACGUCAUACAAUGGCCGGUACAGAGGGUAGCCAACCCGCGAGGGGGAGCCAAUCCCACAAAGCCGGUCGUAGUCCGGAUCGCAGUCUGCAACUCGACUGCGUGAAGUCGGAAUCGCUAGUAAUCGCGGAUCAGCAUGUCGCGGUGAAUACGUUCCCGGGUCUU
rnacentral:rRNA from 1 species